GAGGAGAGGAGAGGAGGGGGGGGAGGACUUGCUGGGAAAGAAAAGCCACCCCCACCACCCAAUCCCGCAUCUUCGCUCCCGUCUUAUUUCUCGCCCGCCCAGCCUGGCCGUGCCGCAGUCGCUCUUUCGCGCCGGAUCAAGCCUCCUCGGGAGUUGCCGCCUCGCCAGCGUCGUCCCCCCCAUCAUGAUCACCCCACCGCCGCAUCAGGAGACCAGCCAGCCCGUCGAUCCCUUCACUUAUGACUAUGAAACGUUGCGCUGGGUGGGGAUGAUCCUGGCCUCCAUCAUGUUUGUGCUGGGAAUCUUGAUAGCACUGAGUAAAAAACUCAGAUGCAAAAAAUCAGACCCUGGAAUGUCAGAUCCCAGGGCGACAGGGAAAAGCCCCACUCCAGCUGGCACCGUGUAGACACCUUCCUGAAGAUGUCCUGCUCCCGAGUGGCUGGCGAUGAAACCGCACCCGGGACCUUUCUCCGGAGACCUCGGCACUGACUGCCCGGGUGGGGGAGGGGCUCUCCUGUCUAACCUCAAGGAGGGAGGGGGCACUUUUAUAACCAGUUAGCUCUUGCGCUUCCAUUGCAUGAUGGGAGCAGGCCACCUGGCUGGGGUUGGGGCACGGCACAGGCCACGGGGUGAUGCAGCCCAUCUGCCAGUCAGUGUCAGCUGACCCCCGACUCUACUGGGGGCUGGUCCUUAUAAUUCCCCCUCCCUCUCCUACACAGGGUCCCAUUAAAAUGCAAUAAUGCUGCCUGCUGCUGCUGCUGCUGCUCUCUGGGAAAACAAAUCGACAAAAUGCUUCCUCGCUGCUGGGGAUAAUAUAACCCUCCAUUGCUGUUGCUGCUGCUGCUGCUGCUUUGCUGUCUGAGCCUCUUGCUGUGCUGUGAACGCCAUUAGCCACAAAAGUGAGGUGGCAUAGUCCAAAGAGCCCCACCCCCUUGCCUUGUGGGAAACUAGCCCUUUCUUGGGAGUGGGGGGGGGGGGCCACUGUAACGGAUUCCAUCCCUUCUAAUGGAUCGGACUCCUAGAACUAGGAUAUAAUAUUACUGCCGACCACUAGAGGGCGGCCAAGCGAAGAGUUUUUCUAUAGCUUGUUGCUGCCAUCUAGUGGUACAGUAGGGGUUUGCAGGCCUGAUCUAGGACUGUAGUCGGAGUGAUGAACAAGCAAGCUAGGGAAGAAUUCUUAGAAAGGGAAGGGUUGCUUUCUUGUCAUAGGGUCCUCUUCUGCCAAGGGACGCUGACCCCAGCUUCUCCAUGCAGUACCAUCCACAUCUCCAUGUCGCAUUCACACAUGGAGAAAAAUUUGACCAAUCAAUAAAAAUCAUGGUGGUUUUUUUUUUAAAACGAA